GACGAACGCUGGCGGCGUGCUCAACACAUGCAAGUCGAACGGAAAGGCCCUGCUUUUGUGGGGUGCUCGAGUGGCGAACGGGUGAGUAACACGUGAGUAACCUGCCCUUGACUUUGGGAUAACUUCAGGAAACUGGGGCUAAUACCGGAUAGGAGCUCCUGCUGCAUGGUGGGGGUUGGAAAGUUUCGGCGGUUGGGGAUGGACUCGCGGCUUAUCAGCUUGUUGGUGGGGUAGUGGCUUACCAAGGCUUUGACGGGUAGCCGGCCUGAGAGGGUGACCGGCCACAUUGGGACUGAGAUACGGCCCAGACUCCUACGGGAGGCAGCAGUGGGGAAUAUUGCACAAUGGGCGGAAGCCUGAUGCAGCAACGCCGCGUGCGGGAUGACGGCCUUCGGGUUGUAAACCGCUUUCGCCUGUGACGAAGCGUGAGUGACGGUAUUGGGUAAAGAAGCACCGGCUAACUACGUG
rnacentral:rRNA from 1 species